CUCUCUCUGAUGCUGAGUAGCCACACAGGUCGUUCGGCCUCUACAGAUCAUCCACUUGAAGCCCUGAUCGAAUCUUCCUUCGUGGGAGUGCUAGCUCGCGUCGAAGGCUCUGGAUCCAAGCUCCUUUCUUCGGAUCUCUCGAACUUCUAUGGAUCAGAAGAUGAAGCUUUAUGAGAAGGUGGUGGUGUGAAAGAUUGGGAAUGUUGGAGCAUGAUCCCGGCUCCUCCCAUGGAUCUUGGGUGCAGCGGAACCAGCAACGAACAGAUCUGGAGACUUCUAGACACGAUCCAAGGUCCUUGAUGAAAUCAGCCUGGUUGCUGUCUUCUUUGUCAGCCUUUCGUUCCAGAUGAAGAACACCUUUGAAAUCACCUCUAAAAAAUCCAAGAUCUGGUACCCAACCAGAUAAGGCCUGAACCGAGGUCUUUCAAUUUAUAGAUCUCAAAUCGGGGUAUUCUAGACAAGGAAGAAGGUAGAUGGAGACAGACCUCGCAGAUCUGUCCUGCUGCAGCCUUUCCUGUAGAUCUGUUGAUGGAGAUCUCACCCGUGCCUCAAACGACCUCAGAUCAACUCCAGAUCUAAGAAGAACUUGUACCAACC
rnacentral:lncRNA from 1 species